rnacentral:rRNA from 2 species
AGAGUGUUUAAAGCAGGCUCACGCUUGAAUACAUUAGCAUGGAAUAAUGAAAUAGGACAUCCGAUUCUAUUUCGUUGGUUUCUAGGAUCACCGUAAUGAUUAAUAGGGAUAGUUGGGGGCAUUAGUAUUCAAUUGUCAGAGGUGAAAUCCUUGGAUUUAUUGAAGACUAACUACUGCAAAAGCAUUUGCCAAGGAUGUUUUCAUUAAUCAAGAACGAAAGUUAGGGGAUCGAAGACGAUCAGAUACCGUCGUAGUCUUAACCAUAAACUAUGCCGACUAGGGAUCGGACGAAGUUAAUUUUAUAAUGACGCGUUCGGCGCCUUACGGGAAAC